AUUGAACGCUGGCGGCAUGCCUUACACAUGCAAGUCGAACGGCAGCGGGGGAGAAGCUUGCUUUUCCUGCCGGCGAGUGGCGAACGGGUGAGUAAUACAUCGGAACGUGCCCUGUAGUGGGGGAUAACUAGUCGAAAGAUUAGCUAAUACCGCAUACGACCUGAGGGUGAAAGUGGGGGACCGCAAGGCCUCAUGCUAUAGUAGCGGCCGAUGUCUGAUUAGCUAGUUGGUGGGGUAAGAGCCUACCAAGGCGACGAUCAGUAGCUGGUCUGAGAGGACGAUCAGCCACACUGGGACUGAGACACGGCCCAGACUCCUACGGGAGGCAGCAGUGGGGAAUUUUGGACAAUGGGCGAAAGCCUGAUCCAGCAAUGCCGCGUGUGUGAAGAAGGCCUUCGGGUUGUAAAGCACUUUUGUCCGGAAAGAAAUGGCUCUGGUUAAUACCUGGGGUCGAUGACGGUACCGGAAGAAUAAGGACCGGCUAACUACGUGCCAGCCGCCGCAGUAA
rnacentral:rRNA from 1 species